UACGUAGGGCGCAAGCGUUAUCCGGAAUGAUUGGGCGUAAAGCGUCUGUAGGUGGCUUUUUAAGUUCGCCGUCAAAUCCCAGGGCUCAACCCUGGAUAGGUGGUGGAAACUACCAAGCUAGAGUACGGUAGGGGCAGAGGGAAUUUCCGGUGGAGCGAUGAAAUGCGUAGAGAUCGGAAGGAACACCCAAGGCGAAAGCACUCUGCUGGGCCGACACUGACACUGAGAGACGAAAGCUAGGGGAGCAAAUGGG
rnacentral:rRNA from 1 species